GAUUAAAUGGGCUGAGUUUAGC
rnacentral:tRNA from 1 species